rnacentral:rRNA from 1 species
UCGACGAAGCCCUGAGAAUGAUUCUUCGGAUGAAGUCUCUUGUGACUGAGUGGCGGACGGGUGAGUAACGCGUGGGUAACCUGCCUCACACAGGGGGAUAACAGUUGGAAACGACCGCUAAUACCGCAUAACCCGCUGGUGCCGCAUGGCACUGACGGAAAAGAUUUAUCGGUGUGAGAUGGACCCGCGUCUGAUUAGCCAGUUGGCAGGGUAACGGCCUACCAAAGCGACGAUCAGUAGCCGGCCUGAGAGGGUGAACGGCCACAUUGGGACUGAGACACGGCCCAGACUCCUGCGGGAGGCAGCAGUGGGGAAUAUUGCACAAUGGGGGAAACCCUGAUGCAGCGACGCCGCGUGAGUGAAGAAGUAUUUCGGUAUGUAAAGCUCUAUCAGCAGGGAAGAAAAUGACGGUACCUGAUUAAGAAGCCCCGGCUAACUACGUGCCAGCAGCCGCGGUAAUACGUAGGGGGCAAGCGUUAUCCGGAUUUACUGGGUGUAAAGGGAGCGUAGACGGUGAUGCAAGUCAGAAGUGAAAGCCCGGGGCUCAACUCCGGGACUGCUUUUGAAACUGUGUGACUGGAGUGCAGGAGAGGUAAGCGGAAUUCCUGGUGUAGCGGUGAAAUGCGUAGAUAUCAGGAGGAACACCAGUGGCGAAGGCGGCUUACUGGACUGUAACUGACGUUGAGGCUCGAAAGCGUGGGGAGCAAACAGGAUUAGAUACCCUGGUAGUCCAC